UACGUAGGGUGCAAGCGUUGUCCGGAAUUAUUGGGCGUAAAGAGCUCGUAGGCGGUUUGUCGCGUCUGCUGUGAAAACUCGGGGCUUAACUCCGGGCCUGCAGUGGGUACGGGCAGACUAGAGUGCGGUAGGGGAGACUGGAAUUCCCGUGUGCUGGUGGAAAUGCGCAGAUAUCAGGAGGAACACCGGUGGCGAAGGCGGUUCUCUGGGCCUUACCUGACGCUGAGGAGCGAAAGCGUGGGGAGCAAACAGG
rnacentral:rRNA from 1 species